UACGUAGGGACCAAGCGUUGUUCGGAUUUACUGGGCGUAAAGGGUGCGUAGGCGGCGCGGUAAGUCGGGUGUGAAAUCGUUGGAGCCUUAACUCCGAAACUGCAUUCGAUACUGCCGUGCUUGAGGACUGGAGAGGAGACUGGAAUUUACGGUGUAGCGGUGAAAUGCGUAGAUAUCGUAAGGAAGACCAGUGGCGAAGGCGGGUCUCUGGACAGUUCCUGACGCUGAGGCACGAAGGCCAGGGAGCAAACGGG
rnacentral:rRNA from 1 species